CUCCACAUGCAAUUCUAUCUUGAUACCUUAAGAGUCAAAUAAUUUAGUCAAACUCUUGAAUUUUGUAGUAAUUCAACAUCUUCCUUUCUGGCAGUCUGCAUAUACAAAGCAAAGAAUGAAAUGUUGAUGAAAAGAAAAUAUGAAGUAUAAAUCCCUGCUAACUGAACUUCUAAAAAACCUCUACUCCUGCCAUCACCACCACCAUCUGUGUACAACUGUCAUCUCUGGCCAGCUUUCUUCUGCCACCUGCAUUCCUGGGAUCUGGGAUCCAGAAAUUCCUCAGUACUCUUUCUUUCCUGGGAUUCCUCUAGAGACUUGGGGUCUCCAGGAGACACUUAACUACCAAUUCAGUGUGAUAAUUGAAAGAAUACCCGAUUUAAGGUCAGAAGACUGAGUUGCAUCCCACCUCAGACAAGGGAUAUAGAAGAUUGAGGAAAUCAUUUAAUCUUUCUCAUCCUUAGUUUUGCAGCAGCAGAAGCAGCAGCAACAACAACAAAUUGUUGAAAGGAAAUACCAGUUACCAUUAAGGAAUGUUAUGAGAAAAUGAGCUAAUUUUUGAAAUUCAGAGUUACAUAAACACGAGGUUGCAUGUCAAUCAUUCAUAGAGAAGAAUAAUUAAGUUCAAGAAAUUCCUUCACCUUUCUGGUUACAAGUGUCUUUUUAAAAAUAUUAUUCUUGCAGAACAUUUACCAAAGCUUCAAGAGAUGCUUGAUGCUCUCUAGCAAUAUAGAGACUAACAGAAAUUCUGCCUUUAAAACAUCUCUCUUUCUGUCAUCUGACUCUACUUCCAGGCUGGUGGUAGCCCUUAGGGCCUCCUGCCUGGAUAAAUGCAGUAGUGUGCUGAUUGGUUUGUCUGAACAAGUUCUUCCCCAUUCCAGCCAAUGGUUUGUCCUCAUGUUUAAACUUUAUUUUCCCCUCAUCUCUACCUCCUAGCUUUUCUGGCUUCUUUUAAGUUGCACCAAAAAAAAAAAUACUAUCUUCUUCAGGAAGCCUUUUAGAAUUACCCUUUCAUCAGAUAACGCCCUUCUUCCAUUAAUUUUUGGCAAGGUAUACUGUACAUAUCUCACAUAUGCCUAAUUGAGAGCAUAUUGCUUCUAAUCUGUGGGUACUUUAAAGAACAGGGCUUUUUGAUAUUUCGAGCUCUUAACAUACCAUCUGAACUUCUAAUAUCUUAUGCUACUAUAAAGCAUUAAAGGAAGGUUUAGGUACCAGGCAAGGGCCAUUCAGAUUUUUUUUUUUGCCUUUACUUCCCCUCACUGAACAGUUCAUUACAUAAAGCUGGAACUGGUAUAAACUCAUUGUGUUGAAGUACAUUCAUCACUAUAAGACAUUAAAUAUGGGCAGUUAACCAAAUAGGAUGAUAGGAAUACAUGAAUAGCAAAAUAUAAAUAAGAAUUGAGGACUUUCUGGCUGGUUCUUCUCCAGAAGUUGAAAUCUUCCCUCCUACAUCAGUCUCUUUAAUAGUUUGUAAAAAUAGUUCAAUGAAAUAUAAUUAUUCAAAUAAAUGAAUUUGCUUUGCUUUUUUGAUUAACUAA
rnacentral:lncRNA from 1 species